rnacentral:lncRNA from 1 species
AAAAAGAGGGUUUCAAAUCUGCUCUGUGUAAAGGAUCGUUCAACUCUGUGAGUUGAAUACACACAACACAAGGAAGUUACUGAGAAUUCUUCUGUCUAGCAGAAUAUGAAGAAAUCCCGUUUCCAACGAAGGCCUCAAAGAGGUCUGAAUAUCCACUUGCAGAUUUUACAAACAGAGUAUUUCCUAACUGCUCUAUGAAAAGAAAGGUUAAACUCUGUGAGUUGAACGCACACAUCACAAAGGAGUUUCUGAGAAUCAUUCUGUCUAGUUUUUAUUCGAAGAUAUUUCCUUUUCUACCAUUGACCUCAAAGCGGCUGAAAUCUCCACUUGCAAAUUCCACAAAAAGAGUGUUUCAAGUCUGCUC